GACGAACGCUGGCGGCGUGCUUAACACAUGCAAGUCGAACGGUGAAGCGCUUGCCUUUUUGGUGGGUGUGGAUGAGUGGCGAACGGGUGAGUAACACGUGAGUAACCUGCCCUCUUCUUCUGGAUAACCUCAUGAAAGUGGGGCUAAUACGGGGUAUUCCGGGUCUGUCGCAUGGCGGGUUUGGGAAAGAUUGCGCCUUUGGGUGUUUUCGGUGGGGGAUGGGCUCGCGGCCUAUCAGCUUGUUGGUGGGGUGAUGGCCUACCAAGGCGGUGACGGGUAGCCGGCCUGAGAGGGUGGACGGCCACACUGGGACUGAGACACGGCCCAGACUCCGGCGGGAGGCAGCAGUGGGGAAUAUUGCACAAUGGGCGCAAGGCUGAUGCAGCGACGCCGCGGGAGGGAUGGAGGCCUUCGGGUUGUGAACCUCUUUCGCCAGUGAAGCAGGCCUGCCUCGUUUGUGGGUGGGUUGACGGUAGCUGGAUAAGAAGCGCCGGCUAACUACGUG
rnacentral:rRNA from 1 species